UACGUAGGGUGCAAGCGCUGUCCGGAAUUAUUGGGCGUAAAGAGCUUGUAGGCGGUUUGUCGCGUCUGCUGUGAAAUUUCGGGGCUCAACCCCGAACUUGCAGUGGGUACGGGCAGACUAGAGUGUGGUAGGGGAGACUGGAAUUCCUGGUGUAGCGGUGAAAUGCGCAGAUAUCAGGAGGAACACCGGUGGCGAAGGCGGGUCUCUGGGCCGAUACUGACGCUGAGGAGCGAAAGCGUGGGGAGCGAACAGG
rnacentral:rRNA from 1 species